CACGUAGGGGGCGAGCGUUGUCCGGAUUUAUUGGGCGUAAAGAGCUCGUAGGCGGUUUGUCGCGUCUGCUGUGAAAUCCCGAGGCUCAACCUCGGGCCUGCAGUGGGUACGGGCAGACUGGAGUGCGGUAGGGGAGAAUGGAAUUCCUGGUGUAGCGGUGGAAUGCGCAGAUAUCAGGAGGAACACCGAUGGCGAAGGCAGUUCUCUGGGCCGUAACUGACGCUGAGGAGCGAAAGCGUGGGGAGCGAACAGG
rnacentral:rRNA from 1 species